GGGCCCGUAGAUCAGCCUGGUAGAUCGUUCGCUUGGCAUGCGAGAGGCCUCGGGUUCAAAUCCCGACGGGUCCA
rnacentral:tRNA from 1 species